rnacentral:rRNA from 1 species
GUGGGGAAUCUUCCGCAAUGGACGAAAGUCUGACGGAGCAACGCCGCGUGAGUGAAGAAGGUUUUCGGAUCGUAAAGCUCUUUCGUUAGGGACGAACGUGCUCUUUGUAAAUAAUGAGGAGUAAUGACGGUACCUAAAUAAGAAGCCACGGCUAACUACGUGCCAGCAGCCGCGGUAAUACGUAGGUGGCAAGCGUUGUCCGGAAUUAUUGGGCGUAAAGCGCGCGCAGGCGGGAUAUCAAGUCUGUCUUAAAAGUGCGAGGCUCAACCUCGUGAGGGGACAGAAACUGGUAUUCUUGAGUGUCGGAGAGGAAAGUGGAAUUCCAAGUGUAGCGGUGAAAUGCGUAGAGAUUUGGAAGAACACCAGUGGCGAAGGCGACUUUCUGGACGAUGUCUGACGCUGAGGCGCGAAAGCUAGGGGAGCGAACGGGAUUAGAUACCCUGGUAGUCC